CGUAGGGGGCAAGCGUUGUCCGGAUUUAUUGGGCGUAAAGAGCUCGUAGGUGGUUCGGUAAGUCGGAUGUGAAAUCUCCAGGCUCAACCUGGAGGGGUCAUUCGAUACUGCCGUGACUAGAGUUCGGUAGGGGAGUGUGGAAUUCCUGGUGGAGCGGUGAAAUGCGCAGAUAUCAGGAGGAACACCCGUAGCGAAGGCGGCACUCUGGGCCGAUACUGUCACUGAGGAGCGAAAGCGUGGGGAGCGAACAGGAUUAGAUACCCUGGUAGUCCACGCCGUAAACGUUGGGCACUAGGUGUGGGACUCUAUCGACGGGUUCCGUGCCGUAGCUAACGCAUUAAGUGCCCCGCCUGGGGAGUACGGCCGCAAGGCUA
rnacentral:rRNA from 1 species